rnacentral:rRNA from 1 species
CAGUAGCCGCGGUAAUACCGAGGGUGCGAGCGUUAAUCGGAUUUACUGGGCGUAAAGCGUGCGCAGGCGGUUAUAUAAGACAGAUGUGAAAUCCCCGGGCUCAACCUGGGAACUGCAUUUGUGACUGUAUAGCUAGAGUACGGCAGAGGGGGAUGGAAUUCCGCGUGUAGCAGUGAAAUGCGUAGAUAUGCGGAGGAACACCGAUGGCGAAGGCAAUCCCCUGGGCCUGUACUGACGCUCAUGCACGAAAGCGUGGGGAGCAAACAGGAUUAGAUACCCCCGUAGUCCCUGUCUCUUAUAC